GUCCUUGCCGUAAACGAUGUAUACUUGAUGUAAUUGGGCUCAACCCUGAUUGUGUCGUAGCUAACGCGAUAAGUAUACCGCCUGGGGAGUACGCUCGCAAGGGUGAAACUCAAAAGAAUUGACGGGGGCCCGCACAAGCAGUGGAGCAUGUGGUUUAAUUCGAUGCAACGCGAAGAACCUUACCCAGGCUCGAAAUGUAAUUGCUAGUACCAGAGAUGGUAUGUUCCGCAAGGACUGUUAUAUAGGUGCUGCAUGGCUGUCGU
rnacentral:rRNA from 1 species